GCAGGAGUCGUGGAAUGGUUUGGAGGCGGCGGAGAAGAGGACGAAGCCGCCUCCGUGGAAGUAGAUGAUGAGAGGGAGGCGGGGGUUUGGGGGGAGAGGGUGGGGUUUGAAGAGCCUGAAGAAGGUUUUUGUUUCUGGGUUUAAGGGAAUGUCCUUGGAGAGGACGAGUUGGGGAGAGUUGGAGUCUGACUCGGCGGCCGUGGCGGAAAUGGACUCGGUGGGGGUGGGAGUUGGGGAGACGGUGGGGAAAGGGGUGAAGCGGGUGAGGGAGCCAUCAGGGUUGGGGAGGAUUUUGAGGAGUUUGUAGGGGUCAAUGGAGGUUGGGGAUGAAGAAGGUUGAUACGCCAUGGAUGUUGUUGAAACUCGCAGAUGAAG
rnacentral:lncRNA from 1 species